GUUGUAUGGUUAAGUGACUAAGCGUACACGGUGGAUGCCUUGGCAGUCAGAGGCGAUGAAAGACGUAGUAACUUGCGAUAAGCCCAGAUUAGGUAGUAACAACCAUUUGAGUCUGGGAUUUCUGAAUGGGGAAACCCACGUGCAUAAGCACGUAUCCUUACCUGAAUACAUAGGGUAAGGAGGCGAACCGGGGGAACUGAAACAUCUAAGUACCCCGAGGAAAAGAAAUCAACCGAGAUUCCGAAAGUAGCGGCGAGCGAAAUUGGACUAGCCCUUAAGCUUUACACGCGUUAGACGAACGGUCUGGAAAGUCCGACGAUACAGGGUGAUAGUCCCGUAGUUGACGACGUGUGUUCAGUGAAAUCGAGUAGGGCGGGACACGUGAUAUCCUGUCUGAAUAUGGGGGGACCAUCCUCCAAGGCUAAAUACUACUGACUGACCGAUAGUGAACCAGUACCGUGAGGGAAAGGCGAAAAGAACCCCUGUGAGGGGAGUGAAAUAGAACCUGAAACCGUGUACGUACAAGCAGUAGGAGCAGGCUUUGUCCUGUGACUGCGUACCUUUUGUAUAAUGGGUCAGCGACUUAUAUUCAGUGGCAAGGUUAACCAUCUAGGGGAGCCGUAGGGAAACCGAGUCUUAACUGGGCGUUCAGUCUCUGGAUAUAGACCCGAAACCAGGUGAUCUAGCCAUGGGCAGGUUGAAGGUUGAGUAACAUCAACUGGAGGACCGAACCGACUAAUGUUGAAAAAUUAGCGGAUGACUUGUGGCUAGGGGUGAAAGGCCAAUCAAACCUGGAGAUAGCUGGUUCUCCCCGAAAGCUAUUUAGGUAGCGCCUCGGACGAAUACUACUGGGGGUAGAGCACUGUUAAGGCUAGGGGGUCAUCCCGACUUACCAACCCUUUGCAAACUCCGAAUACCAGUAAGUACUAUCCGGGAGACACACGGCGGGUGCUAACGUCCGUCGUGGAGAGGGAAACAACCCAGACCGCCAGCUAAGGUCCCAAAUUACUACUAAGUGGGAAACGAUGUGGGAAGGCUCAGACAGCCAGGAUGUUGGCUUAGAAGCAGCCAUCAUUUAAAGAAAGCGUAAUAGCUCACUGGUCGAGUCGGCCUGCGCGGAAGAUGUAACGGGGCUAAGUAGUAAACCGAAGCUGCGGCAAUACUCUUUGAGUAUUGGGUAGGGGAGCGUUCUGUAAGCGGUUGAAGGUGUGUGGUAACGCAUGCUGGACGUAUCAGAAGUGCGAAUGCUGACAUGAGUAACGAUAAAGGGGGUGAAAAACCUCCUCGCCGGAAGACCAAGGGUUCCUGUCCAACGUUAAUCGGGGCAGGGUAAGUCGACCCCUAAGGCGAGGCCGAAAGGCGUAGUCGAUGGGAAACGGGUUAAUAUUCCCGUACUUCUUACAAUUGCGAUGGGGGGACGGAGAAGGCUAGGUGGGCCUGGCGACGGUUGUCCAGGUUCAAGUGCGUAGGCUUAAGAGUUAGGUAAAUCCGGCUCUUUUUAAGGCUGAGACACGACGUCGAGCACCUACGGGUGUGAAGUCAUUGAUGCCAUGCUUCCAGGAAAAGCCUCUAAGCUUCAGAUUGUAAGGAAUCGUACCCCAAACCGACACAGGUGGUCGGGUAGAGAAUACCAAGGCGCUUGAGAGAACUCGGGUGAAGGAACUAGGCAAAAUGGUACCGUAACUUCGGGAGAAGGUACGCUCUCGACGGUGAAGUCCCUUGCGGAUGGAGCUAUUGAGAGUCGCAGAUACCAGGUGGCUGCAACUGUUUAUUAAAAACACAGCACUGUGCAAAAUCGUAAGAUGACGUAUACGGUGUGACGCCUGCCCGGUGCCGGAAGGUUAAUUGAUGGGGUUAGACUUCGGUCGAAGCUCUUGAUCGAAGCCCCGGUAAACGGCGGCCGUAACUAUAACGGUCCUAAGGUAGCGAAAUUCCUUGUCGGGUAAGUUCCGACCUGCACGAAUGGCGUAAUGAUGGCCACGCUGUCUCCACCCGAGACUCAGUGAAAUUGAAAUCGCUGUGAAGAUGCAGUGUACCCGCGGCUAGACGGAAAGACCCCGUGAACCUUUACUACAGCUUGGCACUGAACAUUGACCCUACAUGUGUAGGAUAGGUGGGAGGCUUUGAAGCACGUACGCCAGUAUGUGUGGAGCCGUCCUUGAAAUACCACCCUUGUAGUGUUGAUGUUCUAACGUCGACCCCUUAUCGGGGUUGCGGACAGUGCCUGGUGGGUAGUUUGACUGGGGCGGUCUCCUCCCAAAGAGUAACGGAGGAGCACGAAGGUGGGCUAAUCACGGUUGGACAUCGUGAGGUUAGUGCAAUGGCAUAAGCCCGCUUGACUGCGAGAAUGACAAUUCGAGCAGGUGCGAAAGCAGGUCAUAGUGAUCCGGUGGUUCUGAAUGGAAGGGCCAUCGCUCAACGGAUAAAAGGUACUCCGGGGAUAACAGGCUGAUACCGCCCAAGAGUUCAUAUCGACGGCGGUGUUUGGCACCUCGAUGUCGGCUCAUCACAUCCUGGGGCUGAAGUCGGUCCCAAGGGUAUGGCUGUUCGCCAUUUAAAGUGGUACGCGAGCUGGGUUUAGAACGUCGUGAGACAGUUCGGUCCCUAUCUGCCGUGGGCGUUGGAAGAUUGAAGGGGGCUGCUCCUAGUACGAGAGGACCGGAGUGGACGAACCUCUGGUGUUCGGGUUGUGUCGCCAGACGCAUUGCCCGGUAGCUAAGUUCGGAAUCGAUAACCGCUGAAAGCAUCUAAGCGGGAAGCGAGCCCUGAGAUGAGUCUUCCCUGAUACUUUAAGUAUCCUAAAGGGUUGUCGGAGACUACGACGUUGAUAGGUCAGGUGUGUAAGUGCUGUGAGGCAUUGAGCUAACUGAUACUAAUUGCCCGUGAGGCUUAACCAUACAACACCCAAGGGGUUU
rnacentral:rRNA from 1 species